rnacentral:lncRNA from 1 species
UUAACCAACCCCUAGCUUACAUAGUUAUUGUACAGCUUGUUAAGGAUAGCAACAGGCUGUCCUUCAGCCAUGUACCAACCAGCUAAUUUCUCUUUUAUGAUACAACAAGCCUCAUGAAUAGUUGUAGUACAGUGCACAUAACAAAUUAUCUGAACCAAUAGAUUUAUUGUCAUAUCUGUGUAUUGUAAUUACAUGUAUUUGUGUACUAACUGCUAACCUCAGGCUUUAGUUAUUAUUUAUACUUAGUAGAUACAAUUUUGAUAUGUCUAUACCACAUUACACGUGUAUAUACAUUAUAUGUACAUACAUGUACAUUAUACAUUUAGAUCACCUUAGCAUUCAGCAACAUGUGCAUGUAAAGUUUUCUAUUAUUUUGUCCACGAUGCAAGUUAGUUUUAUUACUUUUAUAUGAGAUAGUGUGAUCAUUAGCUGAUUAUUUGUUAUACAGGUUGAUAAUGUCACUGCCACCAUUCAAAAAGGUAUAAUGUUGGGACUCAGGCCUGUACUGAAUUAAGACAUUAACAAGAUUCAAGAAAUUGUUGGAGAUAUUGAGAUAUCAGCCACUGCAGGAGCUCUCACUAUUGAAGGAGAAACUGAGAGCUUCUCUGAAGCAUGUUAUGAAAUUGUGAAGACUCUUAAGAUGCUUGUUGAUGAUACUUAAGCUUCUUGUAAGCAGUGCUGAUGAUACUCAGCCUCAGGAGCUGUUAGCUGAAGCAGCCAGUAAAGCUGUCACCACUAUGCAAACUGAAGCAAAUCAACUCAAGAAAGUAGCUUCAUCACUUACCUUUGAUCAUGUUGAGGCUCAAUUGUUAUUACUUAAUGGUAUAAGAGAUGUUGCUAAUGCUCUGGGCCUCUGGCUGAUCUCAUUGAUGCCACUCAAGUUGUUUGGGGUAAGAGUGUCAGUUACCCUUCUAUAGAGAACCUUAAAGAAAUUGCUAAGAAAAUGGUUGGUAAAGCUAGUCGAUUCUUAAAAACAGUUAAGAAUGUUCAAAAUGAGGCUGCUUAGGGCGUUCAAUUGCUUGAAAAGACCAUUGACUCCAUUGAAAGUGACCUUGUGGAAUUCCAAUCUUCUACUGAAGCCACCACAGUUAGAUAAAGCUAAAGCUACCCCAGAGAAACUUCUCCAAGUCACCCAAGCCAUUGCUCUUGCCUCCUCAAAAACUGUCACAGCCGGUAACAGCUGCAAGCAGGUUGAUGUAUCAGUAGCUGCUAAUCUCAGAUACCAAGCUGUUCAUGAUUAGCAAAGCAGUUGCACAGAACUUUACACAGACUAAAGAACAGACUGAAAAGUGUAGGGUCAUGGCCUGUUGUAAAGAAUGUACCAUUGCUUAUAAAGCUUUGCUGCAGUUCCUACAUCACAUUGUACUUAAAGCAGAUGAUUCCUCAAUUCAUGUUAAGCUCCCCUCAUUCACAAGAGAGGUUGCUAGUGCUGUCAGUGACAUUGUUAAGGUUACCAGUGAGCUUAAAAGGAGCUGGUUUCAUUGAUAUGAGUAAUCCUGAGGUCGGCAGAACUGAACAAGAACUCCUUGCAGCUGCCACCUCUAUUAAAGCUGCUGCCAAAAAACUUAAAGAAUUAAGGGUUGCACCAACUAUAUUGAUGCUCAUCUGAAUUUUGAUGCUCAGAUCCUUGAGGCUGCCAAGAGCAUUGCAGCUGCCACCAAAAGC